rnacentral:rRNA from 1 species
GAUGAACGCUGGCGGCGUGCCUAAUACAUGCAAGUCGAGCGAACAGACGAGGAGCUUGCCCCUCUGACGUUAGCGGCGGACGGGUGAGUAACACGUGGAUAACCUACCUAUAAGACUGGGAUAACUUCGGGAAACCGGAGCUAAUACCGUAUAACAUGUUGAACCGCAUGGUUCAACAGUGAAAGACGGUCUUGCUGUCACUUAUAGAUGGAUCCGCGCCGCAUUAGCUAGUUGGUAAGGUAACGGCUUACCAAGGCAACGAUGCGUAGCCGACCUGAGAGGGUGAUCGGCCACACGGGAACUGAGACACGGUCCAGACUCCUACGGGAGGCAGCAGUAGGGAAUCUUCCGCAAUGGGCGAAAGCCUGACGGAGCAACGCCGCGUGAGUGAAGAAGGUCUUCGGAUCGUAAAACUCUGUUAUUAGGGAAGAACAAAUGUGUAAGUAACUAUGCACGUCUUGACGGUACCUAAUCAGAAAGCCACGGCUAACUACGUG